UAAAGCUGAGCCCUUUCAUUAGUCGCAGCUGUUUGGAGUAAUUAGGACGCGACCAUUUGCUCUGUGGUUUCAACCGUCAUUCUUCAAACACUCGUUAGGAAGAAAAGUGGUUGCCGGACGUUCUCCCUAUAUAGUAAUUUGAAGCACCCGCACCGCCAACGAUCGUAAAAGAGAACAUGCUGUUCGUGUGGAGUCUAACCCUGGUUCUGGCGGCGGCUACUGUGGUGCCAAUGGCAAUGGGCUUCCCUCAGGGCCCAGUUGUUGCACGCCAGAAAUGUGUUCCGAAUGGAUGGAAGUGCGCAUGGGACGCUGAGUGUUGCCACGGUCAUUGCCAUGGGAGGGAAUCGGGGCUAUACGUCCCGCUAUGCCAUGCAUUGUGAUGAGGAAGAUGGAAGAUUUUCCUCACUUGAAGUCGGCAAAUAAAGAGAUUCGGAGACGAGGA